AUCAAUGCAUCCAUUAACCAAUCAUCUUUUCAAGUCAUUUGUACGUUUAUUUGAAAUUAUAUAGACUAUUUUACUAAAAAGUAAUCCUUUUUUUGCAGAUUAUUACUCAAAAAUUCUAUAAUUUUGAAUAAAUGAUUAUUCAAGUUCAAGUUCACUUCUGAGAACUGAAGUAAUAAAUGCAUUAUAAAUGCAUUUUUUUAACAGAUAUUCCAAAUUGUUUUAACAAAUAUAAAUAAGGAUAAUGGAAAUGACGAUAGUGAAGGUAAUAAUAAUUCAAAUUCGUAACAAACGCUCGAUAAAUUUUAUUUUUCCAUGUAUCACGUGACAUGAUCGGAAUUAUCCAACUAAAUAAUAUACAGCAAUUUGCAAUGGUUGUGUUUUCGUGUGCAUAUGAGUUAGAAUAUUAGAAAAAACGUAUUAUUAAAUGUCUUAUGUAAAACUCUCGAGUAUAAGAGAAUAUCUCGACAUAGUAGGUCUUCGCCGCAAGCCAAUUAAAAGGUUGCGCUAUUAAGGCACUCUAUGCCAGGAAUAUGUUUAAGGUGCACGAACGGUACAAACAGGAUCCAUGAAAUAUAUAAUAUAUAAUAUGUUUUAUAUAUAGAUAUCUCUAUAAAAGAAAUGAAAAUACAUCAUGUAUGACAAAUGGUAAAUAAAUGUACGUACAUAUACAGAUUUGUGAUUUAAGAGAAAUUAAAACUAGAUAUAUCCUAAAAAAUAAUUGGACGGCGGUCUAAUGUAUAUUUUAAUAGUGAUUCAUUUUUAAUUAAUUAUUCUGAAUGACGAAGGGGAAUGUAUGCGAAAAUUUUUAAAACUACUAUAGUAAAUUAACAAUAAUGUUAACAAAAUUUACAUCAAUUUUCUGUAAUUUUUCUAUUAUUUUCUUGUCUCUUUUAACAAUAUGUAUUUCUAGAAUAUUUUAUUUAUAUAUAAAAAUCUUUUACAAAAUUUAAAAGAUAAAAGGGUCGUUAAAUUUAAAACGAAAUAACGUAAAUGCUCUACGAUUGUACUUGUUAGAAACGGCGUCAUCGAUAUUAUCUCUCAUUGACUUUCAUAGUCUGAUUUCACUAUUCGUAGUAGCACAGUGGGCGUAUUUGAAGCUUUUUGUUUUCAUUUCAAUAAAAGAAUUCUUUGCUCGUUUGAAAAACCUUGGAUACCAUAUUUUUCUUUAUUCGAGUCGAGUGCCUUAUUCGCUUAAAAAUAUCUAUACAUUCGAUCUAGACAAUAUACACAACA